rnacentral:rRNA from 1 species
UACGUAGGGUGCAAGCGUUGUCCGGAAUUAUUGGGCGUAACGAGCUCGUAGGCGGUCUGUCGCGUCUGCUGUGAAAACUCAGGGCUUAACCCUGAGCUUGCAGUGGGUACGGGCAGACUAGAGUGCGGUAGGGGAGACUGGAAUUCCUGGUGUAGCGGUGAAAUGCGCAGAUAUCAGGAGGAACACCGGUGGCGAAGGCGGGUCUCUGGGCCGUAACUGACGCUGAGGAGCGAAAGCAUGGGGAGCGAACAGG